UCGACUACAUGAAGCUGGAAUCGCUAGUAAUCGCGGAUCAGAAUGCCGCGGUGAAUACGUUCCCGGGUCUUGUACACACCGCCCGUCACACCAUGGGAGUCGGAAAUGCCCGAAGUCUGUGACCGAACCGAAAGGAAGGAGCAGCCGAAGGCAGGUCGGAUGACUGGGUGAAGUCGUAACAAGGUAGC
rnacentral:rRNA from 1 species